GUCUUCGUGGUGUAGUAGUCAGCACACUUGGCGAGUAUUCGAGAGAUCCGUGGUUCGAGUCCCGGCGAAGGCA
rfam:Stegodyphus mimosarum contig71812, whole genome shotgun sequence.